rnacentral:rRNA from 1 species
AUUGAACGCUGGCGGAAUGCUUAACACAUGCAAGUCGAGCGGAGAGGCGGACGGGUGAGUAAUGCCUAGGAAUCUGCCUGGUAGUGGGGGAACAAGUCCGGAAACGGGCGAUUAUACCGUUUACUAUUAGAUGACCCUAGGGCGGAUUAGGUAGUUGGUGGGGUAAAGGCCUACCAAGGCGACGUUGCGUAACUGGGCUGAGAGGAUGAGCAGUCGCACUGGAAGUGAGACACGGUCCAGGCUCCUACGGGAGGCAGCAUUGGGGAAUAUUGGGCAAUGGGCGAAGACCUGAGCCCACCGUGCCGCGUGUGUGAAGAAGGUCUUCGGAUUGUAAAGCGCUUUUAGUUGGGAUGCGUUACCAACAGAAGAAGCACCGGCUAAAUACGUGCCAGCAGCCGCGGUAAUAC